UGAAGUAAAUAAAAUUCACAAAAUCGCUUAGAAAUGCAGCAUUGAAAAUACUCGGACUAGUAUGAUGACAAUAAGUGAAAAAAGAAACUCCGGCCGAUAGAAAUUAAUGGACGUCAAAAUGCUGAAUGACACAUUUCGUGCCACAAAUGGUAGAAUUCACAUUCUUUGACCUGUCCGAGGUUCGUGCAACACUUCAUUUUCGGAAGGAAUUAAUCCCAUUGGAAUGAGCCCAAACGUUCACAGACGGAUGCUGUUUUAUCUGAGCAAUCUGACCAUGUUCGCCAUUUUUACCAGUCUAUUAACUGGGUUUAACUUGAUUCAGUUUGAAAAAUCGGACCAGCUUACACGGAUCGGAGUGCCACGGCCGAGACAGACCGAGGCUGAGUGGUGUUCCGCCGUUCUGCUGGGGCACGCUGAUUCAGACAGCAGCACAGUGGAAGAUCUCUUUGCCCUGAUGCCUCCAGACUUUGAGCAAAAGUUUAAGAAUCCAUGUUUCUACGACGCUUGCCAUCAGACUAAUAAUGGAACAAAAAGAAAGCUCCGCUGUCUCCCUUUUUUUCAUGUGUUGGGCGUAGACAAAUGUGGUUCAACAGAUUUAUAUUAUCGCAUAGUGCGCCAUCCUCAGAUCUCCCCAAAUAAUGGAGUCCUUCAUAAGGAAACCUCGUGGUGGUCGUGGCGGCGGUAUGGACACAAACUUCGGACUGAUACUCAUCACAAGGAAUCAUUCAUUGAUUAUCUACAUUACUUUGAUGGACUCUCAGAAAAACUUGAAAAAGACUCUAGUAGCUAUAAUAGUAUAACAGUUGAUGGAACACCCAUGGACUUCUGGGACUUUACAGGAUGGCCACAGAUUCCACAAAAUGUGAACGUCGGGAAUCCUAAAAUUCUGACCCCUCAUUUGAUGAAAUAUUUGAAUCCCUACGUCAAGUUCAUCUUGAUAUUUCGACAGCCCUCUGAAAGGUUGUUUUCUGAUUACAUUUUUCUGAAGCUUGGAGAGCCUACAGCGAAAGCUUUUCAUGAGAAAGUUUUAAAAUCAAUAAAAAUGUUCAACAAUUGCUGUGCAAACAACACGGUGCGGGCUUGCCUGUUCAGUAGAGAACUUCAAAUCAAAAUGCCGGUUCGCCUUCAUGUCGGUGUAUACUCUGUGUUUCUUGAGGAGUGGCGGAAGGUGUUCGAUAUGGAAAACUUCUUAUUUCUCAGAACAGAGGACUACUCCAAAAAUAUAAAAGGCACAUUAAAAAAAGUCUUCACCUUCCUUGGAGUUGGUAAGAAAUUCGUGCAAGUACUUGCGACUCUUGUUAAAUGCUAUAAAUAAACAUUUAUUUUUUUCUUUCGACAGAUGACAUAACAGAGACAAUGAUGGAAGAUAUUUCGAAAGGAAAAAGAGUUUACGAAACGAAAAGAAAGAAAAAAUCCGGAACAAUGCUUUCAGAAACUAAGCGUAUAUUAGAUAAUUUUUAUUAUCCGUAUUUGCGCAAGUUACAUGCUUUAACAAACGAUGAUCGCUUUCUUUGGCAAAACAAAUAACUUUUUGGUUAUCAAUUCAGACGCAAGUUGCCGGCAAGCCGUGUAGAAAGAACACAUACUAGUAUACGAAUAAUGGGGGCAUUGUCAAUGUUAAGCUUUACCUACCGUGGAUGUUGUUGUGUUAAUGUGGUAUGGGACACCUUGAGAUAAGCACAUCACAUUCAAAAUAUAAAUACCGUUUUAAAAUUUCCAACAUUUACCAUAGAAUGUAUUUAAAAAUGUUGUAAAGGUAAGAAAUGUAAAAGCCAGAGAAGGUUUCAAACUCGGAACUUGUUGAUCAAUGUAGCGAUGCACAUGUCGCACAUGCCAGAAACAAGUGUUUUAUAGGGAAGUUAAUAAGUUUGCUAUUUUUAUUAUAGUAAGGAUUAUUACAGAAUUUUUAGCACAGUCACGUGAAAGCAAUCGACCAAUCAUAUGCUUGGGAAAAAUACGACAUUAUAACAAUAUUCUUUAUGUUGUCAUAAUAUGGAGGUCUUUCAUACCCCCUUAAUGUAACACUUUCGUUAUCUUUUUUGUUUCCAUUGUUUGACUCAUACUUCAUUGAAUGUCUGUCGUAUUAAACUAUGGAACAUGG
rnacentral:misc_RNA from 1 species